rnacentral:rRNA from 1 species
GAUGAACGCUAGCGGCAGGCCUAAUACAUGCAAGCCGAACGGCAAGUCUGAUAGCAAUAUUAGACCUAGAGUGGCGUAAGGGUGCGUAACACGUAUGCAAUCUGCCCACGACAGGAGUAUAGCUCCCCGAAAGGGGAAUUAACCCUCCAUAAGACCACACGAGGGCAUCUGAGAGUGGUUAAACCAAAGGGGUCGUGGAUGAGCAUGCGGUUGAUUAGCUAGUUGGUAGGGUAACGGCCUACCAAGGCGAUGAUCAAUAGGGGUUCUGAGAGGAAGGUCCCCCACACUGGCACUGAGAUACGGGCCAGACUCCUACGGGAGGCAGCAGUAGGGAAUAUUGGACAAUGGGCGAGAGCCUGAUCCAGCCAUGCCGCGUGCAGGAAGA